rnacentral:rRNA from 1 species
UACAGAGGGGGCAAGCGUUGUUCGGAAUUACUGGGCGUAAAGGGCGCGUAGGCGGCCUCUAAGUCGAACGUGAAAUCCCUGGGCUUAACUCAGGAACUGCGUCUGAUACUGGAAGGCUCGAGUUCGGGAGAGGAAUGUGGAAUUCCAGGUGUAGCGGUGAAAUGCGUAGAUAUCUGGAGGAACACCGGUGGCGAAGGCGGCAUCUGGACCGAAAUUGACACUGAGGCGCGAAAGCCAGGGGAGCAAACGGG